UCGCUCCCGCUCCCAGCAUAGGUGUGACUUGUAGUUGGAAGCUAUGUUUCCGCUGAGGCUAACUUGUCUGGGGUUCUUUUCAUAUAUACAUUGGUGGAGGUUGUGUUUUCGCCCCCUCUCCCAGUGUCUAUUAUUUCUUGCUUUUUAUCCUGUGUGAUUUUGCUGGUUGUCAACAUGGUUGGCGACCAGUCUUGCUCGGCCUGUAUGGCUUCCCUGCAGCUUGAGGAUGGAUCCCUCAUGCCUUGGCCUCAGGCAUCUGAAGGAGGGUCUUUCUGAUGAUCCCUGCAUGAACUGCAGUUGUAUGCCUCGGGCAGUGAGAGCUGCUAGACUGGCUGAGGUGGAACAACGGUCAGGCCUCGUCAACCGAACGGUUGCUCCCAGCCCAGCGACGUAAUCCAGCUCAGGAUGGUCGCUCUUAACGUCGGGCUGCGGAGGCCAAAGGCCCCACUUCUAGGAAGAAGGUUAGGGAGUCCGGGCUUGCCUCCAAGGUGGGCCAAUUAACAGCGGGUCCCUCCUCCUGGCCUUUCAGGCUGGGACUGGUGCAGGGGAGCCUGGUGCUCCUGCUCCUCCGGCAGCUUCCUUGGAGCCGGAGGAAGGUGUGCUUUCUGUGGCAGCGUCAGCUGGCGAGUAUGAGCCGGAUGGGGACCCACAGGAUGUAGCCUCCCGUGCCUGGAGGCUACAGGCUCUACUGGUGCCUCUGAGGACCUCAUUCGUAUGGCCCUGGCCCAUCUGCAGCCAGACGUGUCGCAAGCGCAGCUGGCUCCGGCCAGGGCUUUCUUCAGCCGUGGCCCAGCCCCCACCAGCUUUACCGUGCCUCCAUCGCAGGAGUAUCUUGGGGAGUUGCAUGCAUGCUGGAGGGAUCCUAGGGCCCUCUCUCAUGCAACAUCCGACGGUCGGACCCUGGCAGCCAUGCAGGAUGGACCCAAGUUUGGCUUGGACCGCAUGCCAGCAGUUGAGCCGACUAUAACUGCUCUAAUUGUAUCGCCCGAUGAUGAGGCUCUGAGACCGGAUGCGAGGUGUCCUCGUCCCCAGUGUUGGGUUACGGAUGACCUGCUCUCCAAAGCCUAUGACGCAGCGGCACGCAUGGGACGCAUAGGAAAUUGUAUGUCCCACCUGAUGCUCGCUCUGUCAGCAUCCCUGCAGGAGGUUGCAGUGGAUGCUCCUGCCCACGAUUUCGGCGAUGCUUCUCUGCAGGCGUUCGCACUGAUGUCCAGAGAGUUGGGGCGGUUUAUGUCCACUCUCGUCUAGGCUCGCCUCCAGGUUUUCCAGUCACUCAUGGAUGGCGGCCGGUCCCCAGCUACUCUGAGGGUAUUCGUGGCAGCCAUCUCCUCAAGACAUGCUCAGGUGGAUAAUGACACAGUGGGGGGGCCACAGUUUGGUGUCCCUUUCUCUGAAGGGCGUGUUGCGGUUACGACCCCCACGAGCACAGUGUGCCCCAGAAUGGGAUCUGCACUUGGUGCUCGAUGCUUUGUGCUUGCCUCCUUUUAAACCCCUGGCUCAGGCGGAGCUGAAGUUGGUCUCUACUAAAACUGCCUUUCUCCUCGCCACGCUUCAUGCUCUGUCUGUGAGUGACUCAUGCCUGAGGUGGAAUUGAGAUGGCUCAGGGGUUACCCUGUGGCCGAAUCCAAUCCUCUCGAAGGUUUUGUCAUCCUUGAAACUCGACCGACCUGUCCGCCUGGCACAAUUUAUCCCCCCGGAAGGGGAGGACAUGUUAAAACUGCUGUGUCCUGUGCGGGCUCUGAGAGCAUACAUUGCUGCGACCGCAGGCAUUAGACGGUCAGACCAGCUCUUCCUCUGCUAUGGUGGUCGUAGGCGGGGCUGUGCUCUCUCCAAGCAGCGAUUUUGUCUCAUUGGGUUGUGGACGACAUCACCCAUGCAUAUAAAGGAGGUGGUCCCCCCUGCCAUCCGGGGUCAGGUGCCACUCUACCAGGGCUGUCUCAACAUCAUGGGCUGCCCUGCGGGUCAUGCCCCUGGAAGACAUCUGUGAUGCAGCAUCAUGGACAUCACCAUGUACCUUCUCCAGGUUUUACCGGGUGAAAGUUGCCACUCCCCAUCCGUUGGCCGUGGCCGUUACGUAUGUUAACUGCGGUUCUACUGUAUGAAUCCUGGAUGACUGCCAGAGCGCUCUGUCACUCAGAAUCCUUAUGUGCUCGCAAGAAGAUUCUGCAGGAACAGAUCCUCUGCUGUCACCGGAAGAUAUAGGCUGUCCGGAGCUCAUCAGGGGUCACUGGUGACUUUGUUGGUAUUAACACUCGACCUGCGCAUGCGCGAGGUGGAUCAUUCAGUGCUUGAAGCACUGGUCAACCAGGAUUCAUAGAACCGUAGUUACAUACGUAACUAUCGUUUUAAUAACCAUCAUAGACUGUAGGUUACCAACUACACCAUAGGAUGGGGACAAGCACAACCUGCUUCACAGGGAGAGCAAAACUCAAGAACAAAGAAAUAUAUAUAUUAAUAAACAAAACUUGAAAAUGUCCAUCUGUUUCUGUUGGUCUCCUGUGGAACAUCAUAUAAACGCUUCUGUUGAUCUCUACUUCUGUGGUGCUAUGGCUCCCUUAGCGCCGCCUCCACCGUCCUCAGCCAUCAACUGUGGGCGUGGCUCCGCCUACCUUUUGGGGGUCACCUAGCCACACCCCAAGGACAAGCUGUACAUAAAUCACAGGUUGUCACUGAGAUUUAUCCAGGUGGGGGCUUGAGUCUUUCGGGGGCAGACCAUGACGUCAUCGCCAACACUUUUCCAAUUGGAGGAGACCAAAGGGUUAAUUUUGUGCAGAGUCCGUCUGUCCCUCCUCCGCUCUCUCUGUCUCUCUCUCAUGGUCUUGGUUUUUGAGGGAGUGCGCUUUGUUGAGUUUGACUGCCUUACCGGUGUUCUCCAGAAGAGGUCACUAUUCUCCAAGCUGCUGGCGGGGCCCACAACAGGCAGCUGAUCCGAAGCGGACAAUUUCCAUCAUAAUGAUAACCUAAAUCUUGUAUUGUUAUCUUGGAUGGUGGUGUGGUGAAUACAGAAAUAUGGGGCGAAAUUGAAUAAAAAAAACACUCAACACUCAAAACAUAUUUACAGCAAUUUUUAGGUGUUUGGUAUAUAGCCUACGCAACCGCAGAAUUGUCCUGAUUAUUAAAGAUUCAUAUUUCUUAUAUUUGCUAGAAUUGUAUGUAUUUCAGUAUUUCUUUAGGCUUAAUUGAUACUUGAU